rnacentral:rRNA from 1 species
AGCGAACAUUGGCGGUAGGCUUAACACAUGCAAGUCGAGCGAGGCGUAAUAGUCGAGCGGCGAACGGGUGCGUAAUACAUGGGAAUCUACCUCGAAGUGGGGGAUAACGUCCAGAAAUGGACGCUAAUACCGCAUAAUCCAUAUCGGGAAAGCGUUGCAGCGCUUUGAGAUGAGCCCAUGGCUGAUUAGCUUGUUGGUGAGGUAACGGCUCACCAAGGCGACGAUCAGUAGCUGGUCUGAGAGGAUGACCAGCCACACUGGAACUGAGACACGGUCCAGACUCCUACGGGAGGCAGCAGUGGGGAAUCUUGCGCAAUGGGGGCAACCCUGACGCAGCCAUACCGCGUGAGUGAUGAAGGUCUUCGGAUUGUAAAGCUCUUUCGGCAGGGACGACGAUGACGGUACCUGCAAAAGAAGUCACGGCUAACUUCGUGCCAGCCGCCGCAGUAA